UCUCCAAUCUCCACCGAAUCCACUCGCUAUCGCCACCGCGCAGCUCCUCGCCCGCCGCCGCCUAUCUCCCAUAGCUGGUGCCGCCAUGGUCCCGUGCCCGCAGACCUCUUUCACUGCCUAGGUCGAGGGCACACCCCGUGCUCUGCCUCUACACAGCGAACCACACCGGAGUCAACUGCGCGGAGAAUGUUUCAGGAAGAAAAGGCUCUGUUAUCUUAACAAGGAUGGAAAGUAUAACGGCAUACACAAACCAACAUGGAUAACCCAACCCAUAUCUGGUGCCUACGAAGAGGAUUGGCAAAGAAAAUAGUAGUCCAAACUUGCAAAAUACUCUUUUACAGAGAUCUUGCCUAGUAAGACUCCAGGUGCUAGCCUAACUGUUAUUUCUUCAAAUGUGCUCAUACUAGUUGCAACCAGGGAUUCUUGAAUGUUUAAAGCAAUGGAUCCAAAGAACUAGCUUGACUGGACUCUAGAUCACGGACAAUUUAGUCUUGGCACUUAAUUAGGAUGGCUAAAUUACAUUUGAGUUUCAUUUGAUGGAUAUUUGCUAUGAGAAUUAUGAAUUUUAUGAA